GGGGCUAUAGCUCAGGUGGUUAGAGCGCUUCACUGAUAAUGAAGAGGUCCCAGGUUCAAGUCCUGGUAGCCCCACCG
rnacentral:tRNA from 1 species